UUCUCUUACCUUAGAACCUAGUCUAAAUCUGUUUCUAAGCCUUUUAGUUCCUCAGUGUUUCUUUCUCGCGUCACUUUAACUGAUUACCACCGUUCUAGUUCAUGUUCGUUGCGUAUGAGUUGACGCCAUAGUAGUUCCCUACUUCUGCUAUUCGUUUUGAUUUUAUACGAAGAUAUCUUUGUGUGUCUUCAAUCGUUACGAGUUUGCAGUUUAGGAAAAAUCUUGUCUGUAAUUUAUUUUAUCUAGACAGCCUAAGAUCUGGAAUGUCUUGUCUGAAAGUAGAUUUUUAAUUACUUUUGUAGAUAAAAAGUGUAGAAAGGAGAGUUGGAGGUGAUGACAAUUUCCCCAGAUGAUCGAAUCUGAUUAUACUGAGCGAAUAGAAUUUCCUCGUAACAGAGGAAAGUCAAGCCAAUUGGAGAAUUGGAGGUGAUGACAAUUUCCCCAGAUGAUCGAAUCUGAUUAUACUGAGCGAUAUUAUAUUUCCUCCCAUCAGAGGAAGUCAAGCCAAUAGUCUGAUCCUUUCUCCUUUGCCAUUUGAAUUACUGUUGAUUUAUUUGUGACGGUUUGAUUAGCUUUUAUUUGUUUAUAUUGAUGGAGGUAUGGAGGUGAUGACAAUUUCCCCAAAUGAUCGAAUCUGAUUAUACUAAGCGAUUAUUAUUUGCUCUCAUCAGAGGCAAUCAAGCCAAUGUUCUGAUCCUUCCUCCUUAAUGUUUUGUUAUAAUUCUUGGUUUUGUAGUAUAUAAUGUGAUUCUAUAAAAAAUUUGCGAUGGAAAUGUUAGAUAAAUUUAAACACAUUGUAGUGGUACUUUAUAGUUAAAGGAGAUGUGGAGGUGAUGACAAUUUCCCCAAAUGAUCGAUUCUGAUUAUGCUAAGCGAUUAUUUAUUUCCUCUCAUCAGAGGAAGUCAAGCCAAUGUUCUGAUCCUUCUCCUUUACUUUAUGAAACUUCGAUUAUGUGUUUAUCUUUUUUUGGAUGUCUACCCAUGGAAUUUACCUGCUAAGAUGUAGAUGACAUUUGAUGAAUAUGUGAUCUCUCACUGA